rnacentral:rRNA from 1 species
GUUUAUGACCAAAUCACCCUGAAUGCACAUGAUCUCAUCCGAUCUUGGGAGUGAAGCAGGUUUGGUGCCUGACUCGUAUUUGGAUGGCAAACUGCAUGCAAAUUGCUGAGUGUGAGUUAUGGAAG